GGUGGGAGCUUGCUCCCUGAUGUUAGCGGCGGACGGGUGAGUAACACGUGGGUAACCUGCCUGUAAGACUGGGAUAACUCCGGGAAACCGGGGCUAAUACCGGAUGGUUGUUUGAACCGCAUGGUUCAAACAUAAAAGGUGGCUUCGGCUACCACUUACAGAUGGACCCGCGGCGCAUUAGCUAGUUGGUGAGGUAACGGCUCACCAAGGCAACGAUGCGUAGCCGACCUGAGAGGGUGAUCGGCCACACUGGGACUGAGACACGGCCCAGACUCCUACGGGAGGCAGCAGUAGGGAAUCUUCCGCAAUGGACGAAAGUCUGACGGAGCAACGCCGCGUGAGUGAUGAAGGUUUUCGGAUCGUAAAGCUCUGUUGUUAGGGAAGAACAAGUACCGUUCGAACAGGGCGGUACCUUGACGGUACCUAACCAGAAAGCCACGGCUAACUACGUGCCAGCAGCCGCGGUAAUACGUAGGUGGCAAGCGUUUUCCGGAAUUAUUGGGCGUAAAGGGCUCGCAGGCGGUUUCUUAAGUCUGAUGUGAAAGCCCCCGGCUCAACCGGGGAGGGUCAUUGGAAACUGGGGAACUUGAGUGCAGAAGAGGAGAGUGGAAUUCCACGUGUAGCGGUGAAAUGCGUAGAGAUGUGGAGGAACACCAGUGGCGAAGGCGACUCUCUGGUCUGUAACUGACGCUGAGGAGCGAAAGCGUGGGGAGCGAACAGGAUUAGA
rnacentral:rRNA from 2 species